GGUUUUAUCUUCCCUUUAUUACAAGAAGGAACAAUAAAAUAGAAACAUUUGUAUGGAAAAUGCAGUGAGGAGUGGUAGGGAAGCAGGUGAGGAGGGGACAGGGCAGAGAAACUCCCGGUUCAGGGAGGGAAGGGGAGCAGGCUGCCCCCAAGCCCUCCCACGCAGAGGAUCAUGACCCGAGGUCCAGGGCCCUAGAGCUGGUGGGGCAGUGUGGGGGACAGUUCUGUGCCCGGCUCCACGCAGCAGUCUCGACAGCAACAGCCAGCUGCCGGCCCUGCAUGGGAAGACAGAACAGAGGUGGCCGCAGGGGCAGGCCCUCCACUCCAGCCCGGGUGCACCUCUGUGGACCACCCAUGCCCUUCUGCAGAGCCCGCUCCUCACCCCCAGCCACUGGUGUCAGCAGCUCCCCAUGGCUCGCCGUCUGCCCCUGCCCCUCCUGGCUGGUGCCCAGCUGCAGUUUCCUCAUGUGCCGCACCACAGCCGUGGCAUUGAAGGCUUGCUGGCAUUGAAGGCAUUGAAGGGAGAGGGGAGAAAGGACUUUUGAGAGAGUCAAGUCAUGGGGCAGGAGCGCAGUGGGAUUCUUGGAAUUGUUCUGUUAUUUUCAUUCAGGAGUUAUUUUAUUGAUUCCCCUAAAGUCCCCCAAAAACCUCUACAAGGCUUUAUUAUAUAUUUACACACACACACGCACAUAUGUUAGAUGUAUGUGUAUCUAUAUAUAUAAAUAGAAACAUAACUCUAUAAUUCAUAUUAAUAUGUAAUAGCAAACACUAUAGCACUGUAUGUCAGGCACUGUUCUAAGCACUUUACGUAGUAAUUCAUUUAAUCUUCAUGAAAGUCUUUGAGGUAGGUACUAUUAUCAUUUUCAAAGGAGGAAACUGAGGCACAGAAAGCUGAAGUAACUUGCUCAGGUGUGUCUCUAUUCAAUAUCUCCACCUAGGUGUCCCACACACCCCUCAAAUUCACCAUGUCUAAAACUAAAACCAUCCCCCCAAAACAUGUUUCUGUCCCUGUGAUAACCAUCUCAGUCAUGGUACCACCACCAUCCAUUCUGUUCCCAGCCACAGUCUUGGGCCAGCCCUUGACAUCUCUUUCCCCCAACAUCCAUUGCAUCGUCAUGUCUUGUCAGUUUCACCUCCUAAAUGACUCCUGGAUCAACCACUGUUCUCUACCCCCUGUUGCUGCUACUGUGGUUCCAAACCCUUACCAUCUCCUGCCUGUAUCUCUGCCACAGCCUCCUAAUGCGUCACCCAGUCUUUACUCCAUGCCAUUCUCUGCAUCCUGAGAGCUCUUUCUUUUUUUUUGAGGUGGAGUCUCACUUUGUUGCCCAGGCUGGAGUGCAGUGGCGCGAUCUCAGCUCACUGCAACCCCCAUCUCCGAGGUUCAAGUAAUUCUCCUGCCUCAGCUUCCCAAGUAGCUGGGAUUACAGACACGCACCACCAUGUGUGGCUAAUUCUUUUAUUUUUAGUAGAGACAGGGUUUUGCCACGUUGGCCAGGCUGGUCUUGAACUCCUGACCUCAGGUGAUCCAACCACCUCGGCCUCCCAAAGUGCUGGGAUUACAGGCGUGAGCCACCAUGCCUGGCCCUGAGAGCCCUUUCUAUGCAGCAACUACUUGCCUAAGAUUCUUCUGGGGCUCCUCAGUGCCCUCAGGAUCAAGUUGGUGCUCCUCUGUGGCAUAUGAGGCCCUAAGAGGCCUGGCCCCUUACCUGCUUCUCUAAAUUGGGCUCCUGCCUCUCAGUCCCCUCAGCCCCUCCAGUCUGGCCAGGCUUAGCACUUGCACUUCCCGGAAUGGCUAUAGACAUUAUUCCGCUAUGCCUCGCUAAUUCCUACUUAACUGACAGCUCUGUCAGGUCAUCACCACUUUUAUGACCUUUCUCGGACCCCAUAGGCUGGAUCAGAUGCCUCCUGAAGAAUUACAGACUUCUUCCUCUAGACUUGGAGGUGAGGGACCCUCUCUGGAAUAGAGAAGGUGUUGGGAGUGUUUGUUGAAUGAAAGAGUGAAUGAAUGAAGUCCUUCAGUAAGGAUCCCUAAGCAGUUACUGUGUGCCCAAUGUGAUGCCAGGUGCUGUGCAAGCUGAGCCUGGGUAGGGAUGGGGAGGAGUCCUGGGGAGGCUGGGACCAGAACUAGGGAUAUGGACUCACCUUCCACUUGCUCUUGGCAAAGUUCUUCUUGAUCUGCUCACUCACCGACUGGUGGAUAUUCUUAUCUAGAGCUGUAUCUCCUGCAAUCCUAGGAUGGGGUUGUGUGGUGGGUUGCCUAUGAGGGCAGAAGCAGACCUGAGGGCCCCAAAUCCCGCCCCAGCUCACAGGUUGUGUGAAUUCUCACCAUGGGUGCUGCAAGGCCUGCUCACAGGUGAAUCUUUUCUCUGGGUCCUUCUCCAUCAAGUGCCGGAUGAAAUCUUUGGCUAAACCCCCAAGACAAAAGCAAAGAUAAUGACAGCAUGGUACUGCCUGUGUACUCCCCAAGAGCAUACCCACUCCCUCAGGUCUGGCCUGGCAUCAAGACAAAGAGGCCAAAUCAGUCCAUGCCCCACCCCACCCAACCUAUGCUCUUCUUCAGGCCCUCCCACCCCCGUGCCUUCCAGCUCUUUCCUUUCUCUCUUAAGAAAAACAUAUGGCCGGGCACAGUGGCUCAUGUCUGUAAUCCCAGCACUUUGGGAGGCCAAUGCAGGUGGAUCACAAGGUCAGGAGUUCAAGACCAGCCUGGCCAAGAUGGUGAAACCUUGUUUCUACUAAAAAUACAAAAAAAAAUUAGCCGGGCAUGGUGGUGGGCGCCUGUAAUCCCCGCUACUUGGGAGGCUGAGGCAGAGAAUUGCUCGAACCCGGGAGACAGAGGUUGCAGUGAGCCGAGAUUGUGCCACUGCACUCCACCCUGGGCAACAGAGCGAGACUGCGUCUCAAAAAAGAAAGAAAAGAAAAAAAAAAGUUGUUCUUGACUAAUCUCAGUGCAUUCACACUGAUGAUAAACGAUAGUAGCUUCACAGGUUUGCUUCUUAAUAGGGGGCACAAAAGGAGGAUGAAAAUGUUUAUGGUGGUGUUUUAGACAUUAGGGUGUCAAUAGGGGAGAGGUAUUUUCAAAUAGACUAUGUUUGAAGAUUGAACAAAUGAAUGCCUAGUUUCUCACUCUGGGAGCCAAGCAGAAGGAAGUACCCAAGCAGAAGGAAGAAGGGGUAGGGUGUCUGGUCUCGAAGACAGCUCUUUGUGUGGUGCUGGAAAAUCCGACAGAAGGAAGGCAGGAGGGAGACCGCCCCCAAAGCAGGUGAGGGAGGAACCAGAGGCAGGGCCCAGGGGAAAAAGGCAAAGCCCCAAAUACCAGAGUCAGAGAUGUCGUCCCAGUAAGGAGAGUCAAACUCGUACUCGGCCUUCAAAAUCUGUUCAAAGAGUUUGGCAUCAUUCUCGUCAUAGAAGGGAGGGUAACCGCAGAGCCUGGGCAGGGAGAAACUCAUCCUCAUUUCCACUUUCGGGUGCCAUUGGCUCCGGGGUGGAGCACUGGGGCAGUCUCAGGGGUCAGGCAGGAGCCAUGGAAGGAGUUCCCCCUUUAUAAACUCUACCAGCCCUGCCUGCUCACUCCUGUUCUAGCUACAUUAUCCUUUCUGUUCCUUGAAUGUGCCGCCAUCUUGCCCUCCUCAGGGCCUUUGCACUUGCCAUUGCCUCUGCCUAUGCCACUCUUUCCCCACACCUCCAAUGUCUGGCUCCCUCACCACUCGGACAUCACCUCCACAGCGAGCCCUUCCCUGACCUCCCUACUGAAAUGGCAUCACCCCGUCUCCCUAUCCCUGCUUGGUUUUUCUCCACAGUAUUUAUUUUUAUCACCUGACGUCAGUUUGUAGAUUUAUUUACUUGUUGAUUGUCUGUCUUCCCUACUAGAAAGAAAGUCAGCUCCCUGAGGGCAGGCACUUUGUCUGGUUUGUGCUGUGCUAAAUUUACCCCAGUGCUUGCUUGGCACAGUGCUUGAAACAUAGUAUCUAUUGAAUGAAGUAAUACUGGUAAUUGAUUGGUGGAAGGAAGGGAGGGAGGGAAGGAAGGGAGAGCAGAGGGAGGGAGGGCAGAGGGAGAGCAGAGGAAGGAAGAGAGGAAAGUAGGCGAGAGGACAACUCUCGAGCCACAGCCUACCAUGGCCAAGCCCCACUUACAAGAUGUAGGCGAUGACACCUAUGGACCAGCAAUCCACAGCCUUGCUAUAGGGCUUCUGGGCCAGUACUUCAGGGGCUGUGGAGGGAAGAGGACGUGGUGGUGACAAAUCUCUGCCCUUCAACUCUUCCCCCGACCAUCACAGCCCCAGCCCAGGGCCCUCCGCACCCACGUAUCCCGGAGUUCCACAGGCGGUGGAGAGCACACUGCCCGGGUCCUCCAUCUUGGAGAGGCCAAAGUCGGAGAUCAUGAUUUUGGAGUCUUCAUCCAGGCUGUAGUACAGCAGAUUCUCUGGCUUGAAGGGCAGGAGGGAAGAGAAGGGGCAAUCAGAGAUGGUUAGAGGCUGGUAGAACCUUCUGCCGCUCCAAGCACCUUCUGAGAAAUAAUGGAUCCCCAAAAGCCACUGUGGCUUCAUGGCUAUCAUAAGAAAAUCAAGGAAGUUCUCAAGAAGGCCAAAAAUUCCAGGAAGGACAAGGCUCAAGAGGGUGUGGGGGGGAACUGUCUAUAAACCUCAGGUGUGCACUGUAAAGCCCUAAAGAAAUGUUUGAAUGCCUAUUUUAUGCCAGACCCUGGAUUAGUGCUUGAUUUAAUGUCAUCCUCACUGCAUCCCUGCUAGGCCAGUCUGUAUAAUCUCACCUAACAGAUGAGGAAACUGAUGCCUUUGGAGGCAAAGUGACUCACCCAAGAACCCACAGUUAGGCAGUAGCAGAGCCAGAAUUCAAAACCAGGCAUGUCACACCCCAAGUGCCCUUCUCCUAGAACGGAUUGAGAUGUACUGCUAAAUGUGAGCCCCGUCGCUAUUUCUGAGGAGUAGGAUUUCGGGGAUUUCUGGCUUUUUUCUUUAUGUUUUGCUGUCCCAUCC
rnacentral:sRNA from 1 species